UACGUAGGGUGCAAGCGUUUAAUCGGAAUUACUGGGCGUAAAGCGUGCGCAGGCGGUGAUGUAAGACAGUUGUGAAAUCCCCGGGCUCAACCUGGGAACUGCAUCUGUGACUGCAUCGCUGGAGUGCGGCAGAGGGGGAUGGAAUUCCGCGUGUAGCAGUGAAAUGCGUAGAUAUGCGGAGGAACACCGAUGGCGAAGGCAAUCCCCUGGGCCUGUACUGACGCUCAUGCACGAAAGCGUGGGGAGCAAACAGG
rnacentral:rRNA from 1 species